UACGAAGGGGGCUAGCGUUGCUCGGAAUCACUGGGCGUAAAGCGCAUGUAGGCGGACUCUUAAGUCGGUGGUGAAAUCCUGGAGCUCAACUCCAGAACUGCCUUCGAUACUGAGAGUCUCGAGUCCGGGAGAGGUGAGUGGAACUGCGAGUGUAGAGGUGAAAUUCGUAGAUAUUCGCAAGAACACCAGUGGCGAAGGCGGCUCACUGGCCCGGUACUGACGCUGAGGUGCGAAAGCGUGGGGAGCAAACAGG
rnacentral:rRNA from 1 species